UCGUCAGGUGGGAUAAUCCUUACCUGUUCCUCCGUUGGAGGACAGAUAAAGCAUGAUGAUUGGAGAUGCAUGAAACGUGAUUAACGUCUCUGCGUAAUCAGGACUUGCAACACCCUGAUUGCUCCUAUCUGAU
rnacentral:snoRNA from 1 species